rnacentral:rRNA from 1 species
UCCUACGGGAGGCAGCAGUGGGGAAUCUUCCGCAAUGGGCGAAAGCCUGACGGAGCGACGCCGCGUGGGUGAAGAAGGCCUUCGGGUCGUAAAGCCCUGUCUAGGGGGACGAUAAUGACGGUACCCCUAGAGGAAGCCCCGGCUAACUACGUGCCAGCAGCCGCGGUAAUA